GGUGUAGCUCAGUGGUAGAGCAUGUACUUAGCGAGUACAAGACCCUGGAUUUAAUCCCCAACUCC
rnacentral:tRNA from 1 species